AGAGGAAGGAGAAGUCGUAACAAGGUUUCCGUAGGUGAACCUGCGGAAGGAUCAUUGUCGAAACCUGCCCAGCAGAACCACCGGCGCACUUGUCAUCGAAACACGGGGGAUGCAGGCUGGUCCUGCUCCUCCUUCGCGGCGCGGUCGGGGCUCCUGCCGUGGCCCUCUACCCAGUAGGGGCACCUGCAGGAGAACCGGCGCUCCGUCCCAACAUCAUCCGGCGCGGAAUGCGUCAAGGAAUAAGAAUGUGAAAACACGCCCUCCGUUCGUGCUCGAAUAUUCGACGGAACGGAGCGGCCGUGUGUCGUAUUAACAAAAACGACUCUCGGCAACGGAUAUCUCGGCUCUCGCAUCGAUGAAGAACGUAGCGAAAUGCGAUACUUGGUGUGAAUUGCAGAAUCCCGUGAACCAUCGAGUCUUUGAACGCAAGUUGCGCCCGAAGCCAUUUGGUCGAGGGCACGUCUGCCUGGGCGUCACGCAACACGUCGCACCCAAUGCCUUUGCACUCACAACGGGUGCCUCGGUCGUCGGGGCGGAGAUUGGCCUCCCGUGUGCCUGCCGGCGCGCGGUUGGCCUAAAGAGGGAGAUCAUGGCGACGAGGGCCACGGCGUUAGGUGGUUGGUUGUCCCGGGCUUUAUCCCGGGCGCGGAUCACGCCGUGCGCCUUAGGCCGUCCGUGCUUCUCGUAGGGCCUUGAAGAAGCCGCUCGUACGGCUUUACGGAUGCGACCCCAGGUCAGCGGGGCUACCCGCUGAGUUU
rnacentral:rRNA from 1 species